rnacentral:rRNA from 1 species
AUUGAACGCUGGCGGCAGGCCUAACACAUGCAAGUCGAGCGAGCGGCGGACGGGUGAGUAAUGUAUGGGGACUGCCCGAUAGAGGGGGAUAAAUACUGGAAACGGUAGCUAAUACCGCAUACUAUCGGAUAACCCAUAUGGGUUUAGCGCGUAGGGGGGGUAAUGGCCAACCUAGGCGACGAUCCCGAGCUGGUCUGAGAGGAUGAUCAGCCACACUGGAACUGAGACACGGCCCAGACUCCUACGGAGGCAGCAGUGGGGAAUAUUGCCCAAUGGGCGCAAGCCUGAUGCAGCCAUGCCGCGUGUAUGACGAAGGCCCUAGGGUUGUAAAGUACUUUCAGUCGGGAGGCGUUACCGACAGAAGAAGCACCGGCUAACUCCGUGCCAGCCGCCGCGGUAAUUC